rnacentral:rRNA from 1 species
UACGAAGGGGGCUAGCGUUGCUCGGAAUUACUGGGCGUAAAGGGAGCGUAGGCGGACAUUUAAGUCAGGGGUGAAAUCCCAGAGCUCAACUCUGGAACUGCCUUUGAUACUGGGUGUCUUGAGUGUGAUAGAGGUAUGUGGAACUCCGAGUGUAGAGGUGAAAUUCGUAGAUAUUCGGAAGAACACCAGUGGCGAAGGCGACAUACUGGAUCAUUACUGACGCUGAGGCUCGAAAGCGUGGGGAGCAAACAGGA